rnacentral:lncRNA from 1 species
CUUUUCUUUUUUUUUUUUCUUUUUCCUCUUUUUUUUUUUUUUUUUUUUGUAAAUCAAGGGGAAAGCAGCCAAACUAAAAAUGAGUUAUUCAUAAACAAAUAGGAGGGUCAGAAGUUCAAGGUCAUCCUCAGCUACACAGCUGGAGGCAGCUGGACGAUGCGAGACAUCGGAAAGGGCAAUGGGAGAGGCAGACAAGAGUGGUAACUUAUGUUAAAUCAUUGGCGAGGGUGUUGAAGACCGCACUUCCAGAACUGAGAUAUGCACCCGGGGAGGCUUGUCCAGGCGGUGUCUACACUGAAGCUUGGAGGACGACCUAGCACCAACCUGGUUUUCCCGCUCACACUGACCCUUCCUAGCUGCUGCUGGUGUUCCGGGGUGGCACCGAGCAGAGGAAAAACAGGAAAGGCUUUGGAGCCGGAGGGCCCUGAGUGCAAGGUGCCUGCCUGCCACAUGACUCUGGGACUAGUCCCUCUCUCAGCCUAGCAAGACAACAUUGCCUCUCAGGUCACCACGAGGAUUCUGGGACAUCUCUGGAAAGACGAUAGCACACAGUGUUUGAGGACUGUUCUCACCUGCUCCAGCCACUCACCCUUGUUCCUUCCUAGUCUUAUGGGAAACCAGAGGAGGGACAUUUGCCCUUCUAAGGACAUUGGUGUGUAGAACUUACUAAAUAUGUAUGAAAUGCACUUGUAAUUUAUUCCUCCACUAUUUCCAUAAAAAUAUAUUAUCU